GUCGAACGGUAGAGGGGGCAACCCCUCGAGAGUGGCGAACGGGUGAGUAAUAUAUCGGAACGUGCCCAGUCGUGGGGGAUAACGUAGCGAAAGUUACGCUAAUACCGCAUACGAUCUAAGGAUGAAAGCGGGGGACCGUAAGGCCUCGCGCGAUUGGAGCGGCCGAUAUCAGAUUAGGUAGUUGGUGAGGUAAAGGCUCACCAAGCCAACGAUCUGUAGCUGGUCUGAGAGGACGACCAGCCACACUGGAACUGAGACACGGUCCAGACUCCUACGGGAGGCAGCAGUGGGGAAUUUUGGACAAUGGACGCAAGUCUGAUCCAGCCAUUCCGCGUGCAGGAUGAAGGCCCUCGGGUUGUAAACUGCUUUUGUACGGAACGAAAAGGUCUCUCCUAAUACGAGGGGCUCAUGACGGUACCGUAAGAAUAAGCACCGGCUAACUACGUGCCAGCAGCCGCGGUAAUACGUAGGGUGCAAGCGUUAAUCGGAAUUACUGGGCGUAAAGCGUGCGCAGGCGGUUAUAUAAGACAGAUGUGAAAUCCCCGGGCUCAACCUGGGAACUGCAUUUGUGACUGUAUAGCUAGAGUACGGUAGAGGGGGAUGGAAUUCCGCGUGUAGCAGUGAAAUGCGUAGAUAUGCGGAGGAACACCGAUGGCGAAGGCAAUCCCCUGGACCUGUACUGACGCUCAUGCACGAAAGCGUGGGGAGCAAACAGGAUUAGAUACCCUGGUAGUCCACGCCCUAAACGAU
rnacentral:rRNA from 1 species